CUACGGGUUGCACCAGUGGGGAAUAUUGCGCAAUGGGCGAAAGCCUGACGCAGCAACGCCGUGUGAGGGAUGAAGGCUUUCGGGUCGUAAACCUCUGUCGGAAGGGAAGAACGGGCAUUGGUCUAAUAGGCCUUUGUUUUGACGGUACCUUUAGAGGAAGCACCGGCUAACUCCGUGCCAGCAGCCGCGGUAAUACGGAGGGUGCAAGCGUUAUUCGGAAUUACUGGGCGUAAAGCGCACGUAGGCCGUUUUGUAAGUCAGGGGUGAAAUCCCACGGCUCAACCGUGGAACUGCCUUUGAAACUGCAGGACUUGAAUCCUGGAGAGGGUGGCGGAAUUCCUGGUGUAGGAGUGAAAUCCGUAGAUAUCAGGAGGAACACCGGUGGCGAAGGCGGCCACCUGGACAGGUAUUGACGCUGAGGUGCGAAAGUGUGGGGAGCAAACAGGAUUAGAUACCCCAGUAGUC
rnacentral:rRNA from 1 species